rnacentral:lncRNA from 1 species
GGGGAAAAAAUGUCCAGCAAUAGCUAGACAACAAUAUUACAACACACACCUCAAGAAUGACAUUUUUAAAGGAGAGCUGCAAUGAACUUAAUUUCUCUUUAUUUAUCUCAGGUAAUGUAUACAGGGGCUUUCUUUUUCAAGUCAUCUAACAUAUGGUACUUUUUAAUUUGCUCCAGGUCAUGUAGAGGACAAUGGCUUUUGAAAUAUGGGCUGGAUAAUAAGAACAUACAAUGGCCAACUCAAAAUGACAGAGCAGCAAAUUCCAGCCUACAGAACCGUCAGUAAUAUGGGUGGUUCAUUAGAUAUUACCAUCCACAAAUCUUAAUAAUUACCCUUACAAUACCCAAGUGAGAUGGAGAAAUAUUGGUAUCCUUGGGUGGGGCACAACACUUUUUCUAGUGGCCAUGAAAAUACAACUUUCAGAGCCUGGAUGACUUUCUUCAAUACAACAUUCUGACCUGACCUGAACGAACUGCAGAAUGAGAAGAGAAACAAAAGGAUUCAGCUGCAGUGGGACUACCCAGAAUGGAACAGCUGAUCAUGAAUGCAGUAUCACAGCCAUUUCAUCCCAGAAGGAGUUUAAGCCACAGGGAGCAUGUAUGCCAGUAAUAUGAGACUUCGAGACUUUGCUGACAUUCAACAAUCAAUACCAUUCAGUAGCCAUCUCCAGUACUUCCUGGUUCUCCUUAUAGAGACUGAGCUUGAUGAAAUUAUGUUUUGUUACUGGCACCUUUCCCAGCAUUGCAUCUUUGUACCUAUAGCCAACAAGCUUCCUCUCCCCAUAAAGGAAGCAUGUAAAAACUUCCUUGGGCUGUCUGUUACGCUAUAUCUAUUAACACCUACAUGCUAUGUGGAAAUCUCUAUCACCAAUAGAGAAAUCUAGAGUAGUCCACAAAGACUCUAUGUGGGAUGUGGCAACUGUGAUUCCAAGAGACUGACCAAUAUUUGAACCUGUUUGGUUUUGUUUCCAGAUUAGGCUGCUUCUGGGUAUGCAGCCAUUUCCUUGUGCCAGCCCAGAUCAUUCAAAAUUGUUUGAUUGCAUGAGAUUUGUCAUUAAAAACAAAAGGAAGGAGCAAUAAAACAUUGUAUGGAACUGUAAAUAACCUGAGA